ACUUGGAAAUUGGUACAAAUUCGUAUAUCCCUAAAAAUAUGGUUUGGGGGUUUCUACAGGGGACCGUAAAUUCCUGGCUACGAACGGGGUGCUUUUGCAU
rnacentral:ncRNA from 2 species